CUACCUAUAAAGACGUUGUGUGGCCGCUUUUGAAUUUUUCAUUCUGUACCUUCACCACUUGAUUUGGCAGCAAAGACAUGGAAGGAAGAAAGCUGUUAACUGCCUUUCUGCUUAUCUUUACCUUCAUGGUGUGGAAAUCAAGCGGAAAGGUUUACAAUUUAAAAAAGUUUAUAUGGACAAAAUACCCCAUAUGGACAUAUCUUACCACAGAUAGCAGAGAAUGUUUGUGUCAAGCGGACGUAAUGCAAUCUAUGAGCGAAAAAGACAUUACUUUCAAUCACAACUAUCUUGACAAGCAUCAACACAGGGGACACCAGAAACUGGUUGCAUUUUUGGAUAAAAAGAAUAUCAUGUAUGUCCACGUUUUCGGAAGUACGCUUAAAGUUAAAGAAGAAAUUGAAUUUUUCGAUAAGGUCAACAAAUGUGCGGUGAUUCACGUCAUGUCAAUGUCUUCCUUUAUUGGUGAUAUCAACAGAUACGACCUGCGAGUUUGGAACUCAUCCAACAUAGCCACUUCUGAUCAAGCGUGUCUUCAAGCGUUCAAGAAAGUACCACACCGAGGACACCUCAUUUACAAAAAUUUUUGCCAGAACAUAUUCCGCAAAACGUCGCAGAUCAUGGAUGCUAAAGGACAGCAAGUCCCAAUGCAGUCUCUUUGUAGCAAUGUAGUAUGACCCACAAACGCGAGAAGGGAACACCUAAUGAAAGCGCUUAGCACGCAAAAUUAUUGCAUGGAAAUAAUAUACAUUUCACAGUGGUGCACAUUCUGCGUUGAAAGAAAGCGAAGAGUCCACAUAAGAUAUUGUUAGGGAGGCAUAACAUAGCCAUCACAUUAGAAAUAAUGUUACCUUGAUAGUUAACCGCAGCUAAAAUGAAGAUUAGCCGCAAUACCAAUCAUGCAUCGAAAUUCGCAUUACCUAAAAUGUAUUUGCGCUCUCUAUGACGUCGGUGUUCUGUUGUACGCGGGCGGCGUCAGUUAAGUAAUAACUGCCCACCUGUUCGAGGCAAGGUUGGCAAAGGAGCUUGCACUGCCAAGAGCAAGUCAGUCAGGAGAAUGUAAUACAGUCGUUGUACAUAGUCUGCCCUUCUCGUGCGGACGGUGCUACGUACAUAGGUCAAUUAGAAAAUUGGUUAUUUCUCGCAAUAAAGGAAAGGGAAACUAGAAAAAAUAAUAACAAAUCGACUUUUCUUAACCUGUACUGCCAUGCAUGCGGUUUGUGUCGUACAUGAGUGAGACUAACGUCAUUGCGAGAAAUAAAUACAGGAUAAACCGCUUGAUCAUCGAAGCUUCUCACAGUCGGAAAACAGAAGACAGAUGCAUCAGCCGUACAUCAAUCGAGUUAACAGAACGAAAUACAGUAUUGUAACAAAUUGCGAAUGUGCUGGUUGUGUGACCACGCUCAACGAUGUGGCAUGCUCAACAUGUAGAUUUUCUGUUGUUGUGCAUGCGUUUUCAAUGCUUUUAUUGUAUUCUUGCACUAUGAUAAGUUUUCCAUACAUAUUUUGUUAGGUUUUCAAUAAAAAGUUGUUGCGAGUUCA